UUCAGUAACGAGUAGGUAAACAUAUCAGAGCUGUAUCUCCACAAUUUAAGAAAAUAAAAUAAAACCUAUGGAUUUAGAUAAUACUGAUUUAGGUAAUCUAACAAAUCUUUGUGCAGAUGAACAAGAAACUUAUCUAAGCUAACGGUGUUUAGCAUAUGGCUUCCUGAUCAGUUUGAAAAAGCUAAAAGCAACCAAGAAGCAAUCGAUCACUUCUACGUUUUGUGGACGACACACCGCUUGUGUUUGGAGAAAAAUGGAUGCUCCGUUUAUUCUGACGAGAAACGUAAACAGAGCUUGAUUUGAUUAUAUGACGUCACCGAGUCGGAGAGAGCUAGCGUGCGUUAGCAUGUUAGCUGUGAUCACGCUUCAGUUUGUAUGUACCACAGAAGAGAACGGACAUUUUCCAAAGAUGAGUGUUUAGAAUUAUGUCAUAUUUGAUCUACAGUCCAACCUCUAAGCAGGACUGUUAUUUUAGUAGAUAAUGUUAUCCGUGGGGUUUGUGUAACAGAACCCCAUUGUAAUGUCUUUUCCUAACGUUAGUGCUGUGCUACAAAAGAAUAAAUAACGAGUCAGCCAUUGCUACAUGUUUUACUAAAAGUAAAGUUGUGCAGAAGUUUGUGUUUAUUUUUCUAAAUUUGUCCUGUUGAAUGUAGGUCAGAAUAAAAUAUGUUUGUGAAAAUGAUAAUUUUUUUUAUGACUGACAUGCAUUUUCAUAUUACUAGUUGUGCUUAGCCAUUAUUGAUCUAUGUAAACAGAAGGUGUAGAGUCUCAACCAACUUGUUGACAUUUUUGUUUAAAAAUGUGUUUUCCAGCUACCGGAAGAAGCAGGCUCCUGAAACUGCAAUUCAGGGAGGUAAUGUGCAGUCAACCUCGACACCCAGUAAGAGAACAGCAGCUAAAAUGUUGCAUCGAUUAUCUCCAACUGAACCUGUGUCUGAGGGGUUAGUAUCUUUUCUGUAAAACAAAUAUUCACGUUUUUGUGCUAUGAUAUUUCAUACAUUAAAUUACACCUUGCAUAUCCACACUUGGUUCAGAACUAACAUCACACCACCAAACACUUCUGACAUUAUCUUUACAGGGAAGAUUUUCUAACGGCUGGUGUUGAGGCCUUAGCUGAUGACCUAGAUUUGGAUCCUUUUGAAGAAAGGCUGGGAUCCUAAAGGGAAUUUCCAUCCUACUUGUGUGGCUGAAGGACAUCUUCAACCAAUUUUGGUACAUUUGCCAGAAAGCACAACAUCGUGAUAUGUUUAUUGACAUGUGGGUGGGUGUGCUUCACCAUGUCACAGGGAAGCAUGAAUGGACCCAUGGCAAAUGUGACCAUGGACCACUUGAUGCAACGACCAGUGAUAAAGAGCUCAUGGUACCAUGAUCUCCACCACACGAGGCUCUUCAACGAAUCAUGUUCAACAGACGCUGGUUGAAGGAUGUCACCAAUCUGACCUUUCGGUAUAUUAAUAACAUUUUCAUAAGCAAAAAAGCUAAAGUGUCAAUAUCAAAGCUGACAAUUUACAUAUAGAAAUGACAAUUGUGGGUGAAAAGGCAAUCAAAAGUGUGAUU